rnacentral:rRNA from 1 species
GGGGGGGGGCAAGCGUUAUUCGGGAAUUACUGGGCGUAAAGGGCUCGUAGGCGGCCAACUAAGUCACACGUGAAAUCCCUCGGGCUCAACCGGGGGAACUGCGUGUGAUACUGGAUGGCUCGAGUUCGGGAGAGGGAUGCGGAAUUCCAGGUGUAGCGGUGAAAUGCGUAGAUAUCUGGAGGAACACCGGUGGCGAAGGCGGCAUCCUGGACCGAGACUGACGCUGAGUGAGCGAAAGCCAGGGGAGCAAACGGGAUUAGAUACCCCGGUAGUCCUGGCCCUAAACGAUGAAUGCUUGGUGUGGCGGGUAUCGAUCCCUGCCGUGCCGAAGCUAACGCAUUAAGCAUUCCGCCUGGGGAGUACGGUCGCAAGGCUG